rnacentral:piRNA from 1 species
UAAAAGCCACCCAGGCCUUGGUCCUA